GUCGGAGGAGGCCUCGGCGAAGCUCAAGGGUGCUGGUGUCACCCUGGCACUGCGCAGCCGCGAGGAGUUCACCCGCUUCUUCGACG
rnacentral:tRNA from 1 species